rnacentral:tRNA from 2 species
GGGUCAGUAGUCCGGUAACGAAGCCGGGGCAGUCUGUAAAACUGCUGGUUCACUCCCCUGCAGGUUCAAGUCCAGCCUGACCCACCA